rnacentral:rRNA from 1 species
GACGAACGCUGGCGGCGUGCUUAACACAUGCAAGUCGAGCGGUAAGGCUCCUUCGGGAGUACACGAGCGGCGAACGGGUGAGUAACACGUGAGCAAUCUGCCCUUCACUUCGGGAUAACUCCGGGAAACCGGUGCUAAUACCGAAUACGACCACUUCAGGCAUCUGAUGGUGGUGGAAAGUUCCGGCGGUGAAGGAUGAGCUCGCGGCCUAUCAGCUUGUUGGUGAGGUAANGGCCCACCAAGGCAACGACGGGUAGCCGGCCUGAGAGGGUGACCGGCCACACUGGGACUGAGGCACGGCCCAGACUCCUACGGGAGGCAGCAGUGGGGAAUAUUGGACAAUGGGCGAAAGCCUGAUCCAGCAACGCCGCGUGAGGGAUGACGGCCU